UCCCUGGUGGUCUAGUGGCUAAGGCUCCUGCACUCUUGCUACCACGGCCUGGGUUCGAUUCCUAGGCAGGGAA